rnacentral:misc_RNA from 1 species
UAGAUCCGUUAAUCGGUGCUAAACGCGACAUGCUAUACACCGGUUUUCGAACGCACAUUGCAGCCUUGGGUGUCAAAGCCUAAGGCUUUGUCUGUCUGAGUGUCGGUUAAUUUAUUAAUCGUAUUAACAUGUUUGUUCGAGUUAUCACAACUCGUCAAGCGUUGGACUGCAUGACGUAUAGUACUUUUCAUGUAGUGUAACACACUGUAACACAUCCACUUGUGUGAAAUGUGUUCACUUCUAAGUACACCGUCUUGCUAUAGAUGAUGUGACACAGUCACCAUCCUUCCACACCCACGACCUCAGAUCAGGCAAGAUUACCCGCUUAACUUAAGC